rnacentral:rRNA from 1 species
AACCCAGGGAAACUUGGGCUAAUACCGGAUGGGUGCUACUGUAAUGGUAGUAUAAAAGGUGGCUUUUAGCUGUCGCUUGGGGAUGAGCCUGCGUCCUAUUAGUUAGUUGGUGAGGUAAUGGCUUACCAAGGCGAUGAUAGGUAGGCGGCCUUAACGGGUGGUCGCCCACACUGGGAUUGAGAUACGGCCCAGACUCCUACGGGAGGCAGCAGUCGAGAAUAGUCUACAAUGGUCGAAAGACUGAUAGCGCGACGCCGCGUGAACGAAGACUCCUUUCGGGGUGUAAAGUUCUUUUAUAUGUGAGCAAUGGUUGGUAUAUUAAUAGUAUGCCGACAGGGAUAUUAGCAUAUGAAUAAGCAACGGCUAACUCCGUGCCAGCAGCCGCGGUAACACGGGGGUUGCGAGCGUUGUCCGGAAUUACUAGGCGUAAAGGGCAGGUAGGCGGAGAUGUAAGUUUGAUG